rnacentral:lncRNA from 1 species
UCGUUGUUUCGAGAUGACGGCUCGGUGCAACCAAGGGUCGGCUCAAUUAGAGUCGAAGCCGAACUUAGCUUAGAUUGCUACUCGGGAGAAAGGAAUGACGGCUUAGAGGGAGGGAGAUAGCAGCUCCAAAAGUCGUGUAUUUUGGCUUUUGCUAAAUUUUCUUGGGCAGAAUUCUGGAACUUUUUUGGUUGAUUCAGGAAUGAACUUUUUUUCUU